rnacentral:tRNA from 1 species
GGGGAUAUGGUGGAAUGGUAGACACGGCAGACUCAAAAUCUGCUGGCGCAAGCCGUAUCGGUUCGAGUCCGAUUAUCCCUA